AGACUGCGAUGGCGAGGCGGCGGAAGGAUGCAAAUAAAGGUAGUCGAGCAAAUCACAAUCGGCGAGAUCAGAGAGCAAGAAAGAUUGCGAGGGGAGGGAUAUGAAUUGGAAUUUUUUUGAUGCGAUAGGUAGAUUGCGGGUAUAUGUGGUCUAUUUGUGGCGGUAUGUCAACAUGAAUGAAGUUAUAUAUGUAAUCGCUGCGUCGUAUCUAUACAUGUGUGUAUGGAUAUCUCGUCGGCAACAACCCAACAUCUAAUGGAGCUUCUAAUGUAUGUGCGCGAACAGGAGUAUGUAACAUGUGCAAUGCACGCAGCACGCCUUAAGAACAGCAACAAGGGUGAAAAAGCCAAACCCAGAGCAACAACGAACAAAGAGAUAUUAUAGCAUAAACACAAAAAACGGAAAAAGAAUACCCCAUAAGCUGACUGGAAAUUACAACCAUAACGAAAUUGAACGAUCAACAGGAAAACUCAACCUCCACAGCCCAAAAGCAGAAGCUCAGAGAUAUCACCAAAUCGUAUCAGAAAGAAUUAGUUAGCGACUAAAGCGCUAAUGAACGUGGGCAUGUAUCCCCUGCUCGGCAACGAUGCUUUUCUGACACUCAGCCAACAACCUCGCCUGCGCCGCCACUUCCCCCAGCCGCCCAAUAACCUCCUUAUUCCCAUCCAGGAAGGUAAAAAUCGCAUAGGGGAUCUCAACCUCUCUGCAAAACUGCAUAACAAGCUUCUGUGCCUUGCGCAGGUUAUGCCUAGGCAUGCGCGGGAACAGGUGAUGGAUGGCCUGGAACUGGAGGCCGCCGUGGAAGAAAUCUAGCCACUGCGGGCAGUCCACGUCCAUCGUUGUGCGCAACAUUUUUUGAGCGAACGACUCGUUCACGCCCAGGUCGGCGGUGGACAUGGCGAAGUGUGAAAGAGUGAUUUGCACGUGCAGGGGCAUGGUGAUGGCGUGGCUGAUGAAGAUGAAGAGGAGUCGGUUGGGCCAGUCGGGGAUGCUACGGUAGAGGACGCCGUAGCCGAACCAGGUCCAGAAGACGACGUGGCCGACUAUCUCGAACCAGCGGUGCCACCAUGCGGCGCCCUUGCGCGGUGCUUGGCCACUUAGCAGGUAUUCCCAGCUCAAGCGGUAGAGAUUGAAGCGGCCGAAGACCAGGAUGGGGUAGUAGAGGAAGUGUUGGUAGCGGACGAGGAAUUUAGAGAAGAUGUCGUAGGUCAUUAUGCGGUCGUAGUAGGUUGAGCGGAGACUGUCGAAAAAGCGGUGAGAGAUAGCAAAGAAGGGCAUGUGUUCGAUGUCCGGGUCGUGUUCGGGGGAGUUGGUGACGAUGUGGUGGACGUUGUGGUUGCGCUUCCACCACCCGAUGCUUAGGCCACCGAUGUAGUCUGCGAUGAGAAUGCCGAUGACAGUGUCUACGUGGAAGCUGUGGGUUAUGCCCAGGUGACCGGCGUCAUGGACGGUGAAAACAAGCUGGUGCCAUAAGGCCCCGAGAAACGCGGCGGAGGUUGCGUACCAGCCACGCCAGAGGAAAUAAAGAGACAAGCCUCCAAGGAGACUAUAGCGGACUGAUUCUAUUAGGUAUGCAAAGUAGUCACAGUCAUAUAAGCCGUCUGCUUUGAUUUGGUCGUGGAGAGAGCGGUAUUUCUGGACGAUGAAAUCCUGGGUUUUGGCAUCAAGGGGUGGGUAUUUCGCCAGAUCCACAAGCAUUUCCUCUCGGGUGCGAGCAUCUAGGAAACGAGGCAUCGCGUUUGGCUUCGGAUCAGGAGAGGAGUUGGGAGAUUCGGAUGAUACAGAAGAGACAGAGGAUGCCGGCCCUCUGCGUCUGGAUGUGUUCUCAAUGGGUUCGAAUAUUGGCGAAGGAGGAUCCGAGAAGCCCUGCUCCGAGGAAUCAUCCUCGCCAAUUUCAUCGGAGGAUGCAUGGGGGCCAUCCUUGUUGUACGGGCGAAAUUUCCCACCCUGGAUAGGGGGCAGGAAAUUCAUCCAGCGGCCUUCGAUGCGGCCGAUCUUAUACGAAUUCAUCCGCUGG
rnacentral:sRNA from 1 species